GCUAGGCACGGUGGUGCAUGCCCGUAGUCCCAGCUACUCAGGAGGCUGAGGUGGGAGGAUCGCUUGAGCCCAGGAGUUCUGGGCUGUAGUGCGCUAUGCUGAUCGGAUGUCUGCACUAAGUUCGGCAUCAGUAUGGUGACUUCCCGGGAGUCGGGGACGACCAGGUUGCCUAGGUCGUGGGGGCGGCACAGGUUGGAAACGGAGCAGGUCAAAACUCUCAUACUGAUCAGUAGUGGGAUCACGCCUGUGAAUAGCCAUUGCACUCCAGCUUGGGCAACAUAGUGAGACCCCGUCUCUA
ensembl:misc_RNA Metazoa_SRP Metazoan signal recognition particle RNA